rnacentral:rRNA from 1 species
UACGGGGGGGGCAAGCGUUGUUCGGAAUUACUGGGCGUAAAGGGCUCGUAGGCGGCCAACUAAGUCAGACGUGAAAUCCCUCGGCUUAACCGGGGAACUGCGUCUGAUACUGGAUGGCUUGAGGUUGGGAGAGGGAUGCGGAAUUCCAGGUGUAGCGGUGAAAUGCGCAGAUAUCUGGAGGAACACCGGUGGCGAAGGCGGCGUCCUGGACCAACACUGACACUGAGGAGCGAAAGCCAGGGGAGCAAACGGG